GGAAAGCCAAAUAAACCAUAAUAAACACAUUCCCAUCAUUUAUUUUAAUCUGGUUAUCACACCGAGUUCACCUCUACGAUCCAGCUGACAGAGAGGCACUGAUAAAGUUACGGAAAACAUCUUAUUUAUUGGUGUGGAGAGGUCAGAGGUCAUCAUGGUGAAACGGACGCGGUGGAUGGACAGGUGUUUCCGAGCUGCUGCACGAGGCGGCGUGGCGAGGGUUCAGUUUCCCAUGGGUCCUGUGCAGAGAGCCGCGCCGCCACCUCAGCCGGUUUCAGGUACAGGGAGCUCUCCUGGCCAGCCCAACUCCAGCUCUGCUACUGCACAAGAACAGAGAGGACCCGAGGGGGGGAGCCACGCGGGAGGCCCGGGACCUGAUGGAGGCUCGGGAGAGACGGAGCCAAAGAGAGUGAGGCA